UACAGAGGUGGCAAGCGUUGUUCGGAAUUACUGGGCGUAAAGAGCGCGCAGGCGGUCGUUCAAGUCGAGUGUGAAAGCCCCCGGCUCAACUGGGGAGGGUCACUCGAUACUGAUCGACUUGAAGGCAGGAGAGGGAAGCGGAAUUCCCGGUGAUAGUGGUGAAAUGCGUAGAUAUCGGGAGGAACACCAGUGGCGAAGGCGGCUCCUGGCC
rnacentral:rRNA from 1 species